rnacentral:tRNA from 10 species
GGGCCUGUAGCUCAGCUGGGAGAGCGUUCGGUUCGCAUCCGAGAGGUCAAGGGUUCGAAUCCCUCCAGGUCCACCA